AUGCCAAAAGGAAAGAUGGCCAAGGGGAAGAAGUGGCCCUGGCCCCUGUUGUCAUGGAGCAGCAGUAGGCCAAAAAGGUGGUAAAUCCCAUUUGAGAAAAGCCCUAAUAAUUUUGGCAUUGGAUAUCUAGCCUAAGGGCCUCACCCACUUUGUCAAAUAGUCCCGCUAUAAAUGGCUGCUGCGGCAGAGCCGCUGUACUCUAUAAGUGGCUGAUGUGCCACCUGGGAUUGACCAGUUCACCCAGGCCUCAGACUACCAAACUUAAGCUACUCAAUUGCUUAAGCUGGCCCACAGUACAGACAAGAGACAGAGCAAGGGAUGAGAUCGAAACCGUUGGCCCAGGCUGAGAAGAAAGCUUCCAGCAAAGGGGAUGUCGCUACUAAGAGACCACCUACACUUCGAGCAGGGGUUGACACCGUCACCAACUUGGUAGAGAGCAUGAAGGGUCAGCUGGUGGUGGAUCCCAUUGAGCUGGUUGUCUUCCUGCCUGUGCUGUGUCCUAAGAUGGGGAUUCUCUACUGCACCGUCAAGACUGUGGUGUCAAAUUCCACAGGAAGACCUGCACCACUGUCACCUUCACAAAGGUUAACUUUCUGGUAGACAAAGGAGCUCUGGCUAAGCUGGUGGGACAAAUUACAACGACAUAUGAGAUCUGCUGUCACUGGGGAGGCAAUGCCCUGGGUCCAAAAUCUGUAGCUUGCAUUACCAACCUAGAAAAGGCAAAGGCUAAAGAAUUUGCCACUAAACU
rnacentral:lncRNA from 1 species